UUGAAUACAGUUUAAUUGAUAAUAAAUGUGGGUAAGUGAUGUAUAUUUUCGAUGUUUCCUUUGCAUUUAGUGCAUUAUUAUCGAAAAAAAAAUUCUCUUAAGAAAAACUUAAGUAACCGAAAAACAAACUACUUAAGAUUUCCGGAGGCGCACUGUAUUACUUUACAGUGAAAAAGAGCGAUUUCCCCUUCGAAUUCUUCUCAAGUGCAUCGUUUCAAAUGUCCACUUUAUCGACUAAAUAGACGUAAGAUUUGUAUUGUUACUGAUCAGUAGUUUUGGAAUUAUUAGAAACAAAAGCGUCACAACUUUGUGAGAGCCAAUUCAUCAGCCAAUCAAUGGUAUUAUCAAUUCAGAAUACGUAUACGUGCUAUAUUAUAGUGCUAAAUGAACAUUUGAUAACACGAACGAUUACUAAUGUUGCAAAUUGAUUAGAUAAGAUUUGUUUCGACCGUUUCGUUCCGAACUUAUCGCGAAGUGUAUUUAUUUAGUUAAAAAUUCACGCGGAUUCAUUUGUUUUCGGUACUUUUUUCUCUCAGGGGAUUUUUCAAACAGUUGAUUCAUACCCUUAUCGCUGAUUAAAGAUUCAUCACUUGGCUAGUAUAUAAAGUCGAAUGAAAACGACUAGAAAUCAGUUCAGAAUUGUGAAUUACCAAAGCUACAACUAAAAGAAUCAAAAUGAAUUUCAAAGUAUUCUUCUUUUUUGCCGUUGUUCUAUUUCUUGGCAUUACAUUCAAUGCUACACCAGCUGAAGCCGUGACUUGCGCCAGCCAAGGUGGACCAGCAGCAUGCCGCCCAUACUGUAUUUUACAGGGACACAAGAGCGGAUAUUGUAACUCCAAAGGGAACUGUGCUUGCACAGACUGAUUCGCAGCAUACACGCUCGGUCUUUUAUUCUCAACUUCGGCUAACAAACAUUGAUGAAUUUUGAAAAUUAAUUCUAAAUUUUAAUGAAGUGGAAAUAAAUGCACACAUGUUUGAUUCGAGUAAA